UUGUGGUCUUUAAUUUAUAAAAGGAUAUCUUCUAAUAUUCUUUUGCUUCUUUUUAUAUUUUUAUUAUUUAUUUAUUUAUUUUUUUGAAUAUUUUAUUUCUAAUGCUUGUGAUGGAUUCAAUUUAAAAUUUUGAGAACUUGGUAUUUAUUCUUAAUGUUUCCUCUGACCAACUUUAUACUAAAUUUGAUUCUCACAAGUCAAAGUUUUCUUUCAUUUUGUUGUGAAAAAAUAUAAAGUGAUUUAAUUUAGAUUCUGAUUCUUGUGUUUUUGAGUACUUUGUGGUAGGUUUAGCAUAUUGAAAAGGGUUUAAAGAAUUUGAAGAAAAUAGUAUUGAAGUGUGAUUAGUUUGGUUUUUAUGGAUUGGGAUUGGAAAGAGUUUGCUUGGGAUCCAUCUGGAUUUGAUGAGGAGUUGAAGAAUGAAGGAGAUUCAAUGGAUUUGAGGCUUGGUGAUCAAGCUUCUGAUUCAUUGGAAAAAUCAGUUCAUGAUUCAGGAAAGGAAGAUUCAAAAGCUGUGUCAUCGUCGUUGUCGCCUAGUGGAUCGUUGAAAAGAUCGCGUUUACAAAAUGGAUCGCAGAGUAUGAUUUGCUCGGUUGAUGGAUGUAACUCUGAUCUUAGUGAUUGUAGAGAGUAUCAUAAGCGUCAUAGGGUGUGCGAAAAGCAUUCCAAAACUCCUGUUGUGUUGGUUGGAGGUAAGCAGCAGAGGUUCUGCCAACAAUGCAGCAGGUUUCAUUCACUUGCGGAGUUUGAUGAUGUUAAGAGGAGUUGCAGGAAACGUCUUGAUGGACAUAAUAAGCGCAGAAGGAAACCUCAGCCACCUUCUCUUUUCAUGGCUGCUGAGAAGUUCAUGUACAAUUACAAAGGACCUAGAAUCCUGCACUUUGGUAGCCCUCAGACAUAUGUGAAUCCUAUUAUGAGAAACAUUUGGCCUGCGACUUCCAUAACUGAAGCUGAAUCUGGUUACGAUCAUCAAAGACUUUUGUAUCGAAUUGACAAACAUAAACAGGAUAAGGGACAUCCUCAUUGGCAAGAAAUUCUCCCUAAAUCUGGCGAUGUUAACAAAGCAGCGCCUGGAACUCCUAUCAGCCAUCCUAUCCGCGGUGCCGUUGGUUCAUCCGCAGGUGAAAAAGGCGGUAGGAAGCUCUCUUCUGAUGGCAAGCCCGGAUCUUUUGACUCGGGUUGUGCUCUCUAUCUUCUGUCAACACUUCAAACACAAAGCUCAGAGUUGAGUUUGAUGCAGUCAAGCAUCAACAGUCCAACACAAUCUUCGUCUGGAACGUUGCAUUUUGAUGCUACAAAGGAGUACUCUUACUCCGGAAAGGUGAAGGAUAAGCCGAAUGGUCCGGUAUUUGUUCUAGAUGGAAACACAACAAACCUUCAUUGCAAUGGGAUGCUGCAAAUGGGUCCUAAUGGAUUGAUCGAAAACGAUAACUCAAUGACUCUUCCAUUCUUCUGGGAGUAACGUGCAGCUGAGUGGUGUCACGGCUUUUUGGUUGUUCUCGUCAUUAGUUUAUUGUUGCUCCUGACGCUCCCCCAGAGUUUCCAACACCAAGUUGUUUGGUCUUUGUUUGGAAAUUUAUGAACUCGAUACCUUGGAAAUUACAACAUUCAAACACAUUGCGCAUCAACCAUUCGCGCUAGACCCCUAUGGUAAACAUUGUGUGUAUUCUAUUAAUUAAUAGACUUGUUGAAUCUUUCCGUUUAGUUUACUUUGUUUCUAUCAAUUCAAAUGUUAAGCACAAUUGGUUUUUGUGCUGAAGAUGAAUUGGUUUUUGUCUCAGUUGUGAUGAAUCACUUUGAACUGUUGAAAAGUUUUAUUAAUUGAA